AGAUUGAACGCUGGCGGCUGGCCUAACACAUGCAAGUCGAGCGGUAGAGAGGUGCUUGCACCUCUUGAGAGCGGCGGACGGGUGAGUAAUGCCUAGGAAUCUGCCUAGUGGUGGGGGAUAACGUUCGGAAACGGACGCUAAUACCGCAUACGUCCUACGGGAGAAAGCGGGGGACCUUCGGGCCUCGCGCCAUUAGAUGAGCCUAGGUCGGAUUAGCUAGUUGGUGAGGUAAUGGCUCACCAAGGCGACGAUCCGUAACUGGUCUGAGAGGAUGAUCAGUCACACUGGAACUGAGACACGGUCCAGACUCCGUACGGGAGCAGCAGUGGGGAAUAGUUGGAACAAGUGGGACGAAAGGCCUAGGAACU
rnacentral:rRNA from 1 species